rnacentral:rRNA from 1 species
UCUUAGUUAAAUUACUAAGGGCUAGUAACGGAUUCCUUGGAAAUGAUAGGCGAUGAAGGACGUGCUAAUCUGCGAUAAGUGUCGGGUAGUCGAUAAGAGACCUUGAUCCGGCAAUCUCCGAAUGUAGAAAUACAGUAGAAACUAAUCUUUCUACUAUUAUCACCUGAAUCCAUAGGGUGAUAAGGCAAACUUGGCGAAGUGAAACAUCUCAGUAGCCAAAGGAAAAGAAAACGAAGUGAUUCCCUAAGUAGUGGUGAGCGGAAGGGGAACAGGCCAAACCAGCACAAUAGAAUUGAGCUGGGGUUGUAGGACCUUGCAA